AUGUCCAGCCAGCAAGAGGUGUUCACUGUCGGCGUUCUCCACGUCACUGUUCACCAUGUGUACUACCCCGUCAGUGAGGAGACGUUGCAUCAGGUGUUUACAAUGUAUGGCGUGGUGAACAUCUCUAUGUUCCAGAGAAUCCACCAUGUCGAGGCGGUGGUUCAAUUCCGAUCAAGAAGCGAGGCAGCACGGGCUCUCGCCAUGCAUGGCCGGUGCAUAUACGAGCGCUCCUGCCUCCUCGACAUCCAGGACGUGUCGCCGGAGUACAACCUGCACUUGUGCUCACUGCUCGAACAGAAGCAGACCACAACUAUGGCCGAGUACACAACAACGUUCUUGGAAUGCGUACAACGCGUACUGGAUAUCAACCCCAACCUGAGCAUCAAGAGCUUCAUCCACCAGUACAUCCUGGGCUUGCGGGGAGAUAUCCAAGAUGUUGUGCGGUUGCGAUCUCCGUCAAGCAUCACCGGUGCUUCGUCCCUUGCACGGAUAAGAGAGGAUGAGAUCGCUGAGGAGGUGGCCAUGGCUGCAGAGAAACCUGACGAUGACCGUAGAGUUCACGUCCUCAUGCCUACGGUGAUAGUCGCGGAUGUCUUCCCCGAGCUGGCUGCCCCAACAGAGUGCGGUGCAGACCAUGGUGUCAUUUCCAUUGACAGCAGCAGCCUUGCUGCAACGACGUCGGUCACAUGUUCGAUGGAGUGCUCGAGUCAUGACGCCACCUUCGACAUCUUCCUUGAGCCCACAGCCCCUACUAUGUGUGAAGGGACCCUCGACAUCGAAGCCAUCAGUGUUGUUGCACCAAUGCCCAUGGCAGGCUCGACCAGUGGUCUGGCAUGUGCUGAUGUCAACAUUCCGGUGGUCGCACCCCUGAUUCUGGGAAAUGUGACCCCAUCGUCUGCAUCUCCUCCAGAGGUUCCACCAACCUCACUGCAGUGGCCAUUUUCCAUCCUUGAACAGGACACCAUGGCGUCGAUAAGAUGUUUGACCCUCUACUUAGACCACAUUGGUGUGUUGACCCCCAUGUACAUACUGGAUGAGAGUGUGAAAAUCAAACAACAAGGACAAGUGUCACGACCAAUGCCAUGGCCUUCGUUCAAAUGUCGUUCGGAACUAGCCAAUCCUCAAGAUCCAUGGACAACAACUCAAGGUAUAUUUGGGAAACUAUCUACAGAUCAGCCAUAUGAGGAUCUCAAAUGUUGUGUUGCCCGUUUGGCCUUGCUUUGUACUAGCUCAUCUGAUGGGAAUUAUUUACAAGUAAUUGCUGCACUGAGAAGUCUCUUAUUUGAGUUCUAUAAUAUUGGGGAGGCUUGGGGUCAUUGGCACUAUGCAUAUAUGCAACAGUGCCGUUCAUCUCAACCAGCAUGUUAUUUGGAGUGCAUGAGGGCUGGUGAUGCUAUAUUGAACAUGGAAUUGACAGCCCAAGUUUUAUUCAAUGCAAUUCCAAUGGAAUUUGUGAGUAAGCAUACUAACGGAGUCUGCGAUUUCUUAAGAGCUUUUGACCAAGAGGAGGAGCUUAAUUCCAUUUCUGAACCGAGCGAACAAGCUACGAGGCUGUGUUAUGUUGAACUGACAUCUUCGGCUUAUUCUUCAUUACAUUUCAUCAAGCCUUGCUGUUUUGGACUAGGUAUGCAGGGGUACAGUGCCAAUGGAAGGCUGUCACCUGACGUGUCAUUUUCUACUACCAACAUAAUGCUUCUUCCAUGA
rnacentral:rRNA from 1 species